UGCUAUUUCCUUACCUUUUCCAAAUUAGGUUUUGGGUCCCAACAUUUGGUAUCAGAGCCAAGUUACGUCUUAUGGGCAAGAAACAUCAGGCGACUACCUCAAUAGAGGUCGUUGCCAUAGCGGAGGUAGAGCUUGACGUUCAAAAGGAGCUAUGGGAAGCCCAAAUCCACGAGGUGCAGAAUUUAGUGUCCACCAUGACCUUCAGACAAAUAUGACAGAAGUUUUGGAGACGCUAUUGUCUUUGACCACGCAAUAGGCUCAGCAAGUUGCCUUUUAGAAAAUGAUAAUGGACGAGCUACGUAAUUUACAAACACGAGCUCCGCAGCCAUCGUCCAUAUGAGUGGAUAGGCUAAGCUCAGUUUCACCAGCGCAACAGAGUCCGAUAUCCUCGCUGGGUCUAACGGUUUUUGGGACUUUCGUAGGCGAAGGACCCAACACGAUUCUCUCAAACACACUCCUCUAUUCCCAACCAUCCAAGAGAAUAUCGACAUCUAAUGUGGGUUUUUUCAUCACCAAUUCUGAUCAAUUUACCGCCCGUGGCCAUGGGGGCACCUUCUAAUCUGACUUUUCAGAGAGGAUCUUGUCUGAUUACAAGUCUGCCCUAUAUGGCCACAUCAAGCAACUAUACCACGCUACCUCCAUUUCCUUUUUUUUUUUCAACAUACACACCCUCCAUGGUUCAACCGCCGCCGUAUAUCCAUCCGUACUUAGUUCCAAUGAGUACGAUAUCACCAAACUUUCCUAAUCAUUCUUAAUCCAAUAUGAAGCUGAUGAAAUUGGAUAUGGGGUGGUUGGCUAUGGUGGAGCGUUUUCUGGAGUAUCACGAGGUACCCGAGCACAAAAAGGUCAUUGUGGCUGAAUGGGGGUACAAUUCCACUUACCACUCCGCCAUAACGAAGACUCCGUUUGAGGCUGUUUAUGGAAAAUCUCCUCCUUCCAUAAUUUCUUACAUACCUGGAACUUCUGAUGUGAAUGCAGUUGAUACAACACCGAGAGAGCGUGAUUCCAUACUUUACCAACUUCGCCAGACCUUGUUGACGGCUCAAGAAAGGAUGAAGUAUUUUGCAUAUAAACACAGGACUGAGCGUGAAUUUCAUAUAGGUGACUGGGUGUAUUUGUAGCUCCAAACGAAUCGCCAAGCCACUCUCCGCGGCUCUCAGUCUCCUAAACUCGCUCUUCGCAAUUACGUCAGUUGGACACCCGCCAAAAUCCUGGAUUGAGGCAUUUUCAAGCGUCAAAACAAGCAUGUGACUUGAUGGCUGAUACAAUGGGCAUGCUUACCCACUGAGGAUGCUACAUGGGAGGAUGCAUUGGACAUUGAAACCCAUUUUCCUUCCUUCCAAACUUGAGAGCAGGUUUAUUCUUAGGGGGCUGGAUUGUUAGGACCCUAUCACUAGUUUAUCACCUAUCUAUUUCCAAUAAGAAUAAAGGCUAGUAGUGUUCCUUAUUUGUAGGUAAUUAGUUGUCAUCUGGCUGGCUUGUGGCCAUUUGGCAUUUGAGAGUCUGUAUAUAUCCUUCUCGUUGUUUCUGAGAAAGGCAUGAAAUGAAAAAUUUGUUUUCUUCCUUUUA